GUAAACGGCGGCCGUAACUAUAACGGUCCUAAGGUAGCGAAAUUCCUUGUCGGGUAAGUUCCGACCCGCACGAAAGGCGUAAUGAUUUGAGCACUGUCUCGACAAUGCAUCCGGUGAAAUUGAAGUACCAGUGAAGAUGCUGGUUACCCGCGCCAGGACGGAAAGACCCCAUGGAGCUUUACUCCAGUUUGAUACUGGGAUUCGGUACUGCAUGUACAGGAUAGGUGGGAGACGAAGAAGGAUGGACGCCAGUCUGUCCGGAGUCGCUGUUGGGAUACCACCCCUGUAGUACUGGGUUUCUAACCAGUUGCCAUGAACUGGCAAUGGGACAAUGUCAGGCGGGGAGUUUGACUGGGGCGGUCGCCUCCGAAAGGGUAUCGGAGGCGCUCAAAGGUUCCCUCAGAAUGGUUGGAAACCAUUUGAAGAGUGCAAAGGCAGAAGGGAGCUUGACUGCGACACCGACGGGUGGAGCAGGUACGAAAGUAGGACUUAGUGAUCCGGUGGUAUAAAGUGGGAUUGCCAUCGCUCAACGGAUAAAAGCUACCCUGGGGAUAACAGGCUUAUCACUCCCAAGAGUUCACAUCGACGGAGUGGUUUGGCACCUCGAUGUCGGCUCAUCGCAUCCUGGGGCUGUAGCAGGUCCCAAGGGUUGGGCUGUUCGCCCAUUAAAGCGGUACGCGAGCUGGGUUCAGAACGUCGUGAGACAGUUCGGUCCCUAUCCGGCGCGGGCGGAGGAUAUUUGAGAGGAGCUGUCCUUAGUACGAGAGGACCGGGAUGGACGGACCACUGGUGUAUCUGUUGUCGACCAACGGCAUGGCAGAGUAGCCAAGUCUGGAAGGGAUAAACGCUGAAGGCAUCUAAGCGUGAAGCCCCCCUCAAGAUGAGAUAUCCCUCCUUCGGGAGUAAGACCCCUUGAAGACUACAAGGUAGAUAGGGCAGAGGUGGAAGCAUGGCAACAUGUGGAGCUGACUGUUACUAAUAGGUCGAGGGCUUAAUCUG
rnacentral:rRNA from 1 species